rnacentral:rRNA from 1 species
GACGAACGCUGGCGGCGUGCCUAAUACAUGCAAGUAGAACGCUCAAGUAGGAGCUUGCUCUUCUGGAUGAGUUGCGAACGGGUGAGUAACGCUUAGGUAACCUGCCUGGUAGCGGGGGAUAACUAUUUGAAACGAUAGCUAAUCCCGCAUAACAGUAGAUGUUGCAUGACAUUUCCUUAAAAGGUUCAAUUGCAUCACUACCAGAUGGACCUCCGUUGUAUUAGCUAGUUGGUGGGUUAACGGCUCACCAAGCCGACGAUACAUAGCCGACCUGAGAGGGUACUAGGACAAACUGGGACUGAGACACGGCCCAGCACACUACGGGAGGGAGAAGGAGCGGAUCUUCGGGAAUGGACGGAAGUCUGAACGAGGAACGACGCGUGAGUGAAGAAGGUUUUCGGGCCGUAAAGAUCUGUUGUGAGAGAAGAACGAGAGUGAGAGUGGAAAGUUAAGAUUGUGACGGUAUCUGAAGAGAAAGCGACGGCUAACUACGUG